UGGGGAAUAUUGGCACAAUGGGCGCAAGCCUGAUGCAGCCAUGCCGCGUGUGUGAAGAAGGCCUUCGGGUUGUAAAGCACUUUCAGCGAGGAGGAAGGUGGUGGACUUAAUACGUUCAUCAAUUGACGUUACUCGCAGAAGAAGCACCGGCUAACUCCGUGCCAGCAGCCGCGGUAAUACGGAGGGUGCAAGCGUUAAUCGGAAUUACUGGGCGUAAAGCGCACGCAGGCGGUUUGUUAAGUCAGAUGUGAAAUCCCCGGGCUCAACCUGGGAACUGCAUUUGAAACUGGCAAGCUAGAGUCUCGUAGAGGGGGGUAGAAUUCCAGGUGUAGCGGUGAAAUGCGUAGAGAUCUGGAGGAAUACCGGUGGC
rnacentral:rRNA from 1 species